rnacentral:misc_RNA from 1 species
UCGUAACAAGGUUUCCGUAGGUGAACCUGCGGAAGGAUCAUUACCGAGUGCGGGUCCUUUGGGCCCAACCUCCCAUCCGUGUCUAUUGUACCCUGUUGCUUCGGCGGGCCCGCCGCUUGUCGGCCGCCGGGGGGGCGCCUCUGCCCCCCGGGCCCGUGCCCGCCGGAGACCCCAACACGAACACUGUCUGAAAGCGUGCAGUCUGAGUUGAUUGAAUGCAAUCAGUUAAAACUUUCAACAAUGGAUCUCUUGGUUCCGGCAUCGAUGAAGAACGCAGCGAAAUGCGAUAACUAAUGUGAAUUGCAGAAUUCAGUGAAUCAUCGAGUCUUUGAACGCACAUUGCGCCCCCUGGUAUUCCGGGGGGCAUGCCUGUCCGAGCGUCAUUGCUGCCCUCAAGCCCGGCUUGUGUGUUGGGUCGCCGUCCCCCUCUCCGGGGGGACGGGCCCGAAAGGCAGCGGCGGCACCGCGUCCGAUCCUCGAGCGUAUGGGGCUUUGUCACAUGCUCUGUAGGAUUGGCCGGCGCCUGCCGACGUUUUCCAACCAUUCUUUCCAGGUUGACCUCGGAUCAGGUAGGGAUACCCGCUGAACUUAAGCAUAUCA